ACCCAGAUGACGAGUCCUAAAUAGGACAAAAUGGACAUCCUAGAU
rnacentral:hammerhead_ribozyme from 1 species